CAAAUCCGGUUCUUGCAAGGAUUCAGGGAUCAGAUGCUGAGAGUAGUGAAGGGCUUCUCAAUGUCUAGACAUAAUGGUUUGUUCAUAAACUCAUGUUUCGCUCACUGCCAAACCGAGAGGCAGGACACUUGGUUCGCUGAUGAUUCUCCUGUCAUAAGAAAAAAGGUUAGUAGUAAGCUCAAAUUUUAUCCCAACACAAACAGAAGCAAAAGGCUGUUAUUGACUUUGUAUAAUGGCAUCAUGCAGGCUGUGGCUAUAGCUGUGGGAGAUUGGUAUUUUGAUAGAGCAGAAGUGAAGUUAAUUGAUUGUCCUUACCCUUGUGACAAGAGCUGCCACAACUUGGUGUUCAGAUGAUUUAUCUACUUGAUUCUUCCUCAUAUACAUACUUAGAAAGCUUAGCUUCUCUCAAAUGGAGAAGCUUACUAUUUUACCAAUGACUCAUUGGAAGAAAAUGUAUGAUUAAUUUGGAAAAACCAUAAUAAACUCCAAAAAAAAUACAUAAGUUGGCUCAUAAGAGUUCAAAAUGUAAUCACAGAGCAAUGAUUCUUCUUUCCUUUGUUUUUUUCUCCUCUACUUGCCACUACAAGUAGUUGAUAAAUGUCAACAUAUUGGUCCCACACAAAGAAUUUGAUUUCACAAGUAUCCAAGAAAUGCAGGUAAUGGAUAAGAAUAAAAAAAGCAAUAAAAUAGUAAAAAGGGAUAAAAGAAAGUGAAAAAAAGAAGAAUAUUACAGAGUGGUGUUGAUGAUAUACUUUGACACCCUGGUAUUAGGGUGAGUGACAGCUAUCUAGUGUUCCCCACUUUGUAUGUGUUUUUUUUCCUUUCCACCUAAUCAUUUCCUUUUUAAGUUCUCUCUCAGUCAAAACUAACUUCUUCAACAACAACUCUGCUAAAUAAAAAUCUCAACAAGUUUUGUGAGGCUGAACCCUGUCCAUUACUUUUUUUUUGUUCUUGAAUCUUCUUAUCAUGGCUUCUGAUUCUCAAACCGCAACUGCAACUACAUCUGAAAAGGUCAGAUAUUCUCCCUAUGUUCCAUAGAAUCUUAUUACAUAUGUUUGUAUGUUACUUAUGCUUUUAAGCUCCAUAAAUAGAUUUUCUGUAUCAUGUUUUGGUUCUAGUAAGAAUCAAUAUAUAUGUUUUGUACCUGAAAUUAGGAGCGUUAAGUUAGAAUAAAUAAAAACUUGUUUUGUAAUGUUCAACAUGGUUUUAACCCUCUUGUUCUGUAAGAAUCUGGAGAAUUCUUGAGCAAUAAUUAGAAGGAAUUUUUUUUAAUAAAAAAAGUUGUAGAUUAUUAUAGAACAUGGAUGUUAUCAGAAACCAUCUUUGUCUGUCGUUUUCUAGAAAACUAUUCUGACACUAUUACAUAUGAUUAAAAUUCCAAAAUAGUUAGUUAGUGGUUUUUCUAAGAAGAGAAUAAUAAAGAGGGGUUUUACUAUUAUCUGAUGCAGCCAGUGGAGAACAAGGUGGACGAGGAGGCUAAGUUGAUGGAGAAAGAGAUUGUUUUGGAGGAUAAACCGGUUUCAGAUUCAAGCCUGGCUGUUACUAAGGAGGAGAACAUCAGUCAAACUCCUGCUGCAGACGUAAAGGAGGUUGCAGCAGUUGUGAAAGAAGAGGAAUCUACGGAGAAGGUGACAGAUGAAAAUGGUGAGAAGAAGGUAGCUGAACAAGUGGAAGUUAAAGAACCAAUUCUUGUGAAAGAGAGUGUUGAAGAAGUUAAGGUUGAAGCUGGUGAUGCAGAGAAAGGAAAAGAUGAAAAGGGUGAGGAGAAGAUAGCUGAAGAAGUGGAGCUUAAGGAGCCAACCCUUGUGAAAGAGAGUGUUGAAGAAGUUAAGGUUGAAGCUGGUGAUGCAGAGAAAGAAGAAGGGAAAGGAAAAGUUGAAAAUGGUGAGGAGAAGGUAGCUGAAGAAGUGGAAGUUAAAGAACCAGCCCUUGUGAAAGAGAGUGUUGAAGAAGUUAAGGUCGAAGCUGGUGAUGCAGAGAAAGAGGAAGGGAAAGGAAAAGAUGAAGAUGGUGAGGAGAAGGUAGCUGUACAAGUGGAGCUUAAGGAACCAGUACUUUUGAAAGAGAGUGUUGAAGAAGUUAAGGUUGAAGCUCUUGAUGUGGAGAAAGCAGAAGAGAAGGGAACCGUUGAAUGUGUAGCUGAAGAAGACAACAAAGAUAAGGAGGAGAGCAAGGUGCUUGAUGUUUCUGAAUCAGCCGGAGGCAAACAAGUUGAUGUUGUUCAACUUGUUAGAGAAGUACCUGAAGAGACUGUAGAAGACAAGAUCAAAGACGUUGAGGUUCUUGAAGUAGAGCCAAAGAUAGAAGCUUCUGAAAAAGUUGAAGUAGUGAAAACAACGGAAACAACACCUGAAACAACAGAACAAGCUAAGGAUGAGCUUGUGGGAAAGCUGGAGGAUACCAUUGUUGUUGAGACCAAAGACUCCAAGGAUGAACAGACUUCUGAAUCUGGUUCUAUUAUAAACCAAGAUUCAGACACUGCCCCCAAAAAGGAGACAGAUGGAGACGCUUCUUCUCCUGCUGAUGUCACUGAGAAGGCCAUCACCGAAGAGAAGCAUGUAGUGGAAGAACCAUCAAAGGAUGAACCAGAGAACGUAAGUGAAACAAAAGAUGUCGCCACUAAAGUAGCUACAGAAGAAGAAAACAUCAAGAAGGACACUGAAGAUGUCAAGAGUGAAGAGACUUUGAAAGAAACUGAAGGAAACAAACAAGAGGAAUCAGUCAAGGAGAAAGUACCAGAGGCUGUAGAAACAGCACCACCUGUUGUUAAAGAGAUCGAAGAGCCAGAAGUCACAACCAAAGAAGAAGUUGUUGUCAAGCAAAAAAGUUCAAACAGCAUCAUGUCAAAGGUGAAGAAGUCUCUUGUUAAGGCAAAGAAAGCAAUCAUUGGUAAAUCUCCAAGCUCUAAGACUAUCUCAACUCAAGAAGCCAAAGAAGACAUCAAAGCCAAGUGAUUAAAGUAAAGAGUCAUGGACUCCUUUAAAGUCUUUUCAGGUAUUUUUAAUUUAUUUUGUUGGUUUUUUGCUUCUUUGUGCUGGGGAAAAAGAACAGAACAUUCUUUUUAUUUUGUGUGGUUAUAACUUAUAUGUCUGUAAACCUACAAAGAUUUGGCUUUGUUGUUAUGGAUGUGUGUUUGAGAAAUUUAACAUUAUUGUAUUCAUCACUAGGGUCGGCCCGCCCUACGGGCGGGAUAUACUUUACUUGUAAUUAAGAUUAUUAUUUUUAUAUGAUUUGUAGUUUGUGUUUUAGGUUUACAUUUUCAAGAAAUGUAUAUGAGAUAUUUUCUUAAUUUAAAAUCACCCAAAAAACAAUUUUUUACUAUUAGCAUAAUUUUACUCUCUCUCUCUCUAUGGGCGUGUUAGUAACCAAAAAUACAUAAAUAUAUCGGUUAAAGAGUAUUUUAAAAUGUUUAGCUUACUUAAAAUUUAAGGUGAUAUUAACUUUUAUUGUGUAUGUUUUGUUAUUUUUUUAUAGAUCAUGAUCAUCUUAAUAUUAAAAUGUUCAUGAAUACAUAAUAGUUUUACAUAUUUUCUUUGUUUAUUUUCCUGUAAUUAUGAUAAUUUUGAUAAUAAGUAAAAUAAUUUUUAAUACAAAAAUCUUAGAUUAUAUUUUUUCUUAUGAAUAAUGUUUCAUUUGACAUCAACCUAAAAUAAUAUUUUAGCACAUAAUUAAUAAUAUAAUAUCAAAGACAUAUAUUUGAAACUAAAUACAUUUUUUGUGUAUUACUUUUUGGUUUUACCACUAAAGUUUCACCACUCAUAUUUUUACAAUCUAAUUUACGUUUUAAUUUUAAAAAUAAAUACAUUUAUUAUACUCUAAACCAUUACAAAACCAAAAUCUAAAACAACACUCAUUUAAAUACAGAGAAAGUAAGUACAAUUUAAUGUCAUGAUAUUGUGUUAUGUUUUUUUGAACAAAAUAUUGUGUUACGUAAUAGUAUGAAAAUGUUUGAUAUAUUCUGGUGUUGUUGUUGAAUAGUCAGAGAGUGUGUCGUAAGUUUUUUUUUUAAAUGUAUUUGGCUGAGUUUGCGAAUUUACAUUUGUGAGUGUAAACUUCGUGAACAAAUUCAAGGGAAUCUGUAAACAUGGGUCUCUCAAAAUGUUUUAUCUUUGCCUGAAGUUGAUGAAAGCAAAACUAUGAUUACCUAUAACCCUGGGCAUUCGGUUAUCGCUUCGUUAAAAGAAUGAUUGAGAGUGCUUCAUUUUAUAGUUGAUAUUUACAAAAUAUUUGCUAGUGUUACCAUCACAGGAAAAAUAAAAAAGAAACCAAUAGUUAUCACUACAAAUUUUCAAGAGAACCUGGAAAAUGAACAACAAAGAAAAUGAAAAACAGAGUGAGAGUGAACAUCCUUAGCUGAAAGGUGCACUGAAGCAGAAUUAGAGCUCCAGCAUAGACGACAUAGGCAGAUUGGAGAGAAGCUCGUCUUUCAUUGAUCGAUCAAUUAUCCUGAAACCACCUCCGGAGAAGAAUAAGUUUGUCUGAAAAUCCUGCAGUUACGUUCUCUCCACAUAUUAUACGUGAUGACUUGCAGUAGCAGCUUGAAGAUGUUUGCACUGUCCGGUGAUGAGGGUCCACCAAGUCUAACGGGACGAUGUCUAGCUGGUUCCCUGUGAAUCUGUUCCGUAAUCCAACCGCGAAAGAACAGUGGAAGAUGAGAUAUUGAUGAGAUUAUGUGCCGUCCGUACAUAGAACACAACUUGCCAGGACCGUCAAACACUAAGACAACAGCCUAUCUCUAAGUGGAAGUCUAGAUGACAUAGCUGUCCAAUUGAUAAAAGAACAGCUUGGGGUUUCUUGCUUGAACCAAACCGUAGUAUGCCAAGAAACAACAGGUGCAGGUUGUCUAAACCGUUACCAUGCCACUUUGGAGAAGAAUCUGUUCAAGAAAUUUCUAGCAGGACCUCGCCACAAAUACACAUCAUCGCAUAAGAAUCUGAUGUAGUUUCUGCAUUCAGAAAAUGUACGGGAGGAAAGUACAAUUUCCAAGAUGUGUUGCUCUUGUAACAGUCCAUUCCACUGUAUGCAAAAUUGCAUUGAUUCCGCAGGACCCAAGAGAUUCCCAUUGGCCCUAACUCAGUCCAGCUAUCGUAACAGAAGGAAGCUGUUCGACCAUUACCAAUUCUGCACCUUAAGAACUCGUGUAGUGACUGUUUGAGCUGAAACACUCCUCCUACAAUAUCCUCGUUAUCGUCCUGCAUUUAUUUGAUAUAUAAGCUUUGUUAGAACUUACAUAACCAUAACAAAUGAAUAGAGACAGCUUCGUUUUUAAACAUUUAUAUGAUUUUAGAAACUUAAUGGAAGAUACUGACCUUGAAGAAGUUAGAGAGGAAUUCUUUCUUUUCUUUUUUUUCUCUCUUCACCAUAUCCAGUUCACGUCUGAGGACUUGCAUAAAAUGUAUAUACGAACGGAAAAAACUAUAGUAAACAUGGUAAUACUCGGUUUCCAAAAUGUAUAUAUUAGAUUCACCUUCUCCUGACUGACACUGUCUUCUCCAUCGUAACAGUCGACGUCUUUUAGCAUCUACACCAAAGAUUUGUGUUAAAGGAAUUAGAGUUUGACAAAUGAUUUGACACACACAGAAACACAUAUCAUUGCCUAAGAAAACAAACCUGCAAAUAUGCUUGAACAUCAUGGAGAUCACAUCCUCUCGUUUGAUGUACUUUGUAAACUCAUCGGGCUCCUAAAUUAGUAGUUGAUGAGCACUUUACCAGCUGGUGCGUCUUAGAAGAAAAGCUGUUAUGAAAGUUCUCUUUCAGAGAAUAAAAAAAUAGAUCUAAUGGCAGCUUUGUAAAUUUGGCAUAAAAUGUUAGUAAGACAGAGAUUGCUUGUUUACCGGUGUUACCUCUCGUCCUAGGAGCAUGUCCACACCCCACUUGUUGCCUUUCUUGACAUUGCGUGCCACCCAGAAUCUCACACUAAGCAGAAGUUGUGAGGUUGCCAUGGAUGGAGAUGGUGCUUAACAGAGAAAGUAUAUUUGAUUUGAUUGAGGUGAUGCUGUUCAUCACAGAUUUAUGCUUUGAACGUAAUGACGGUGAAGUCGAUUGAAUGCGAUAGAGUGAGUGGGAGAAUUACGUAAUUGGCUUUUAAUGUGGCGAGUGAAUGAUAGAUGCAGCUGUUACGCGGAAGUGUCUGGAGUCGGUGUAAUCUGAACCGACGAACCGAUGCUGACGGCUGCCUUGCAACUCCUAAAUCAAAGGGAAGGAACCCUAAGAAGUAUGAGCCAUUGUUGAGAUAUCUUGGACUCUUCGUGGUCAGUCGCUGCAGGCCGGGAGAGAUGAUAUGCAAAUCUUCAAUCGUGCAAUUAGGGCAAGGGGGAGAAUCCCAUCCAUCCGGGUCGGAUACAUGUUCCAAAUUCAGACCCCCAAUACGUAACAAACGAAAAGCCCAUUUCGUUUUGUGUCUUAACAAAACGCCGAGUUUCAUUAAUAGGUGACACGUGGCAGCUUCUGGAUGUGUGAAUUUCUGACCUGUCUGCCUAUGUGGCUUCACCAGGAGAGAAUCAACUCUUUUUUAUAUAAUUAGACUAGGGAUUAACCCGGGCUACGCCCGGGAUUUUUAUUUUUUUCUAAUUUAAGUUGUUAAAUUAUUUAUAUUUAGGUUAUGAUAUAUAUUUUUUAUAAAUCUUAAGAUGCAUGUCAUAAUUAAAAUUUAUUUUAAAUUUUAACACGUUCAAUUAACAUAUUUUUACUAUUUAAAUAUUUUUUUUGUAAUUUUGUUGGCUAUCUAAUUAUCAUAUUUAGCAAAACUAUCUGUUGAGUGUUGGAAUAAAUGUUUUAGAUAUUUAAUUAAACUGCAGAGUAUUUUCGGAUCGAUCACAUGCUCAACAACCGAUCGAUCCGUAAAAAGAUGGUCGAUCUCCUUGGCCAGGUAAGUACAAUUUUAGCAAAAAUAUCUUUGAUUUUCAAAUAUUAAGUAUAUAAGUAUUCUUUUGGAUAUUCUCUUUUUGAAUUGUAUUUUUUGAUUAAAUUAUUGUAUUAUAAUGUUUAUGUAAAUAUUUUUUUGUGAUGUUUGAAUUUGUUUUGUUCGUAUACUUAACCUAGAUGAUAUUGAUGUUUAACAAUUUAUUAUUUUCUAGAAAUAAAAAAUAAUGAUAUAUCAAAACGUAUCUAAUACUUGUUAAAUGAUACUAUAAUGUAAAUUACAUCCAUUAUUUGAAAAUAACCAUUUGUUGUUUUUAUUUUUUUUUAAAUCAGAAAUUAUUUUUAUUUAAAAACAUUAUUCAUAUAUAAUAUAAUAGUUUAAGUUUGGAAGAUUAAUAUAUAUAUAUAUGAAUUAUGUGUAUGUUUUAAAAAAUAAUUUAAGAUGUUAUAUAUUGAGUAACUGAAUAAAAUCUGAAUUUCUUAUCUUGAAAAUCAAAUAAUUAUAUUUUUGUCUUCAUGUUAUACUCAUCAAUCCAUCAUUGAUAUUUAUAACUCAGUAUGCUUAAAAAAAACUUAGUUUGAAGUAAUAAAUGAAUUUAAUAAAUUAAAUUCAUCACCUAUAAUGUUCUGUAAACUAUAUUUGAAAACUCUCUACAAUUAUAUUUUAAGCAUAAUUACUAUUAUUUAAUUUAAGUUAUUUUAAGCAUAAUAUAUGCUAAAUCAACUUAAAUUAUAUUUACAAUAGGACCAUCCUAAACCGGUUAAUAAACCAAAAACAAUACUAAACCAACAUGAACUAAUACCUGAUUCGGCGAGGAAGGAAGUGUUCCGUGAUAAACGCUUGAAUGGAUAUUAACUGUAAUGGUUUGAUCAUGAAAGAGUUAGUAUGAAUAUUAACAAUAAAAUUAUGGAUUAGAUUAAUUUAAAUUUGUAAGAAUACCUUUGAGUCUAUGAAAAACAAUUCAAUUCCCAUGAAUAAGUUUGCCCUUUGGAAGUUGCGGGGUUCCCAACAAUGAAUCCACCUAAUAAAAAGUUCGUUCUUAUAAAAAAUCUCCUUCAAGGUCAUUAAAAGUUUUUGGGACGGCAAGAGUUAAUGGUGGAACCAUUUUUUUGCUCGAGUGCUUUGAAGCUUUCCUUGAUAGUGUGAGGUUGAUGUUGAUGGUAUAAUGAGUUUUAUAGGGACUUUCUUGAUGUAAAACUAUACUUUUUUUUAAUGUGGUAUUUCCAUUUUUAUAUAAUUUAUUACCAUUUUAAGAUAGAUGUACAUUUUAAGAGAGAUGUUUAAAUCUUAAUAUACUUUUUCCAUUUUUUAAAAUGUUUAUUUCCAUUUCUUAUUUUUUUUACGUAAUAUCUAUAUUUUAUAUUUUAAAAUAGAUAUUUAAAUCUUAAUGUACUUUUUCCAUUUUUUUAAAUUGUGUAUUUCCUUAUAUUAUAUAUUUUACAUUUUAAGAUAGAUGAUUAAUGCUUAGUGAACUUUUUCCAUUUUUUAAAUUUUGUUGUGUAUUUACUUAUUAUUAUAUAUAUAAUUCAUAUAUUAUAUAUUUACAUUAUUUACUUAUUAUUUACUUAUUAUUUAUUUUCCUGUAUAUGUAUUUCUAUUUCUUGUACUUUUUAUUUACUUAAUAUCUCUAUUUUACAUUUUAAUAUAGAUGUUUAAAUCUUAAUGUACGUUUUUCAUUUUUUUUUAAUUGUAUAUUUUCAUUUGUUAUACUUUCUAUUUACGUAAUAUCUAUAUUUUAAAUUUUAAGAUAUAUUUUUAAAACUUAAUGUAAUUUUCCAUUUUUUUAAUUGGGUAUUUACUUAUAUUAUAUAUUUACUAAUUUUUUUUAUAUUGUGUAUUUCUAUUUCUUAUACUUUCUAUUUACUAAUAAUUUUAUAUUUUAAGAUAGAUUUACAUUUUAAUAUAGAUGUUUAAAUACUAAUGUACUUUGUCCAUUUUUUAAAUUGUGUAUUUCCUUUUCUUAUACUUUCUAUUUGCGUAAUAUCUAUAUUUUACAUUUUAAGAUGGAUGCUUAAAUCUUAAUAUACUUUUUCCAUUGUUUUUAAGUUGUGUAUUUCUUUUUCUUAUACUUUCUAUUUACUUAAUAUCUAUAUUUUGCAUUUUAAGAUAGAUGUUUAAUAUUUAAUAUACUCUUUCCAUUUUUUAUAAAUUGUGCAUUUACUUAUUAUUGUAUAUAUAAUUUGUAUAUUUAUAAUAUUUACUUAUUAUUUAUUUUUCUAUAUAUUGAGUAUUUCUCUUUCUUAUACUUUAUAUUUAGUUAAUUUAUAUAUUUUAUAUUUUAAGAUAGAUGGUUAAAUCUUAAUGUAUUUUUCCAUUUUUAGUGUAAAGCGGCAAUGUUUAAUAGAAGAACUUGGACAAAUAGUCAAAUAGUUAUAUUUAUGUUUUUUUUCUUUUUUAUAUAAUGGUAAUGUUACAUUAUGGAGAUAAGCCGUUUUUUUAGUGAAAAUUGUAAGCUUACAUAUGUUUAAUGUAGUUUUUCUAUUUUUUUUAUGUUGUGUGUUUACAUAUUAUUGUUAUUUUUAAAUGUAAAAUGGUAAUCUUACAUAUGUUUAAUGUAGUAUUUCCAUUUUUUAUGUUGUAUGUUUACAUAUUAUUUAUUAUUUUCGAAAUUAUAUAUAAUGUUUUUUUACAAAAUAGUAAUAUUACAUUAUGGAGAUAAUCUGUUUUUUUUAGUGAAAAAUGGUAAUCUUACAUAUGUUUAAUUAAUGUAGUUUUUCCAUUUUUUAUGUUGUAUGUUUACAUAUUAUUAUUUUUAAAUAAAAAUGUAAAAUGGUAAUCUUACAUAUGUUUAAUGUAGUAUUUCUAUUUUUUUAUGUUGUAUGUUUACAUAUAUUUAUUAUUUUUGAAAUUAUAUAUAAUGUUUUUUGUUUUUUUUUAUAAAACGGUAAUGUUAUAUUAUGGAGAUAAUCUGUCUUUUUUUUUUUAAGUGAAAAAUGGUAAUCUUACAUAUGUUUAAUGUAGUUUUUCUAUUUUUUGUGUUGUAUGUUUACAUAUUAUUUAUAAUUUUCAAAAAUUUGUAAUAUUUUAUGCCACGUGUCAUCUUUCGAGAGAAGUUUUUUUUGCUGAUGUGGACGCUUUAUGGAGCCUCAAAAGGUCCCUUUUAUUAGUAGAGAUUACAUUUUAAGAUAGAUGUUUAAAUACUAAUGUACUUUGUCCAUUUUUUAAAUUGUGUAUUUCCUUUUCUUAUACUUUCUAUUUGCGUAAUAUCUAUAUUUUACAUUUUAAGAUGGAUGCUUAAAUCUUAAUAUACUUUUUCCAUUGUUUUUAAGUUGUGUAUUUCUUUUUCUUAUACUUUCUAGUUACUUAAUAUCUAUAUUUUGCAUUCUAAGAUAGAUGUUUAAUAUUUAAUAUACUCUUUUCAUUUUUUAUAAAUUGUGCAUUUACUUAUUAUUGUAUAUAUAAUUUGUAUAUUUAUAAUAUUUACUUAUUAUUUAUUUUUCUAUAUAUUGAGUAUUUCUCUUUCUUAUACUUUAUAUUUAGUUAAUUUAUAUAUUUUAUAUUUUAAGAUAGAUGGUUAAAUCUUAAUGUAUUUUUCCAUUUUUAGUGUAAAGCGGCAAUGUUUAAUAGAAGAACUUGGACAAAUAGUCAAAUAGUUAUAUUUAUGUUUUUUUUCUUUUUUUAUAUAAUGGUAAUGUUACAUUAUGGAGAUAAGCCGUUUUUUUAGUGAAAAUUGUAAGCUUACAUAUGUUUAAUGUAGUUUUUCUAUUUUUUUUAUGUUGUGUGUUUACAUAUUAUUGUUAUUUUUAAAUGUAAAAUGGUAAUCUUACAUAUGUUUAAUGUAGUAUUUCCAUUUUUUAUGUUGUAUGUUUACAUAUUAUUUAUUAUUUUCGAAAUUAUAUAUAAUGUUUUUUUACAAAAUAGUAAUAUUACAUUAUGGAGAUAAUCCGUUUUUUUUAGUGAAAAAUGGUAAUCUUACAUAUGUUUAAUUAAUGUAGUUUUUCCAUUAUUUAUGUUGUAUGUUUACAUAUUAUUAUUUUUAAAUAAAAAUGUAAAAUGGUAAUCUUACAUAUGUUUAAUGUAGUAUUUCUAUUUUUUUAUGUUGUAUGUUUACAUAUAUUUAUUAUUUUUGAAAUUAUAUAUAAUGUUUUUUGUUUUUUUUUUAUAAAACGGUAAUGUUAUAUUAUGGAGAUAAUCCGUCUUUUUUUUUAAGUGAAAAAUGGUAAUCUUACAUAUGUUUAAUGUAGUUUUUCUAUUUUUUGUGUUGUAUGUUUACAUAUUAUUUAUAAUUUUCAAAAAUUUGUAAUAUUUUAUGCCACGUGUCAUCUUUCGAGAGAAGUUUUUUUUGCUGAUGUGGACGCUCUAUGGAGCCUCAAAAGGUCCCUUUUAUUAGUAGAGAUUACAUUUUAAGAUAGAUGUUUAAAUACUAAUGUACUUUGUCCAUUUUUUAAAUUGUGUAUUUCCUUUUCUUUUACUUUCUAUUUGCGUAAUAUCUAUAUUUUACAUUUUAAGAUGGAUGCUUAAAUCUUAAUAUACUUUUUCCAUUGUUUUUAAGUUGUGUAUUUCUUUUUCUUAUACUUUCUAUUUACUUAAUAUCUAUAUUUUGCAUUUUAAGAUAGAUGUUUAAUAUUUAAUAUACUCUUUCCAUUUUUUAUAAAUUGUGCAUUUACUUAUUAUUGUAUAUAUAAUUUGUAUAUUUAUAAUAUUUACUUAUUAUUUAUUUUUCUAUAUAUUGAGUAUUUCUCUUUCUUAUACUUUAUAUUUAGUUAAUUUAUAUAUUUUAUAUUUUAAGAUAGAUGGUUAAAUCUUAAUGUAUUUUUCCAUUUUUAGUGUAAAGCGGCAAUGUUUAAUAGAAGAACUUGGACAAAUAGUCAAAUAGUUAUAUUUAUGUUUUUUUCUUUUUUUAUAUAAUGGUAAUGUUACAUUAUGGAGAUAAGCCGUUUUUUAGUGAAAAUUGUAAGCUUACAUAUGUUUAAUGUAGUUUUUCUAUUUUUUUUAUGUUGUGUGUUUACAUAUUAUUGUUAUUUUUAAAUGUAAAAUGGUAAUCUUACAUAUGUUUAAUGUAGUAUUUCCAUUUUUUAUGUUGUAUGUUUACAUAUUAUUUAUUAUUUUCGAAAUUAUAUAUAAUGUUUUUUUACAAAAUAGUAAUAUUACAUUAUGGAGAUAAUCCGUUUUUUUUAGUGAAAAAUGGUAAUCUUACAUAUGUUUAAUUAAUGUAGUUUUUCCAUUUUUUAUGUUGUAUGUUUACAUAUUAUUAUUUUUAUAUAAAAAGUAAAAUGGUAAUCUUACAUAUGUUUAAUGUAGUAUUUCUAUUUUUUUAUGUUGUAUGUUUACAUAUAUUUAUUAUUUUUGAAAUUAUAUAUAAUGUUUUUUGUUUUUUUUUAUAAAACGGUAAUGUUAUAUUAUGGAGAUAAUCCGUCUUUUUUUUAAGUGAAAAAUGGUAAUCUUACAUAUGUUUAAUGUAGUUUUUCUAUUUUUUGUGUUGUAUGUUUACAUAUUAUUUAUAAUUUUCAAAAAUUUGUAAUAUUAAAAUGUAAAACUAUAUUUUAUGCCACGUGUCAUCUUUCGAGAGAAGUUUUUUUGCUGAUGUGGACGCUCUAUGGAGCCUCAAAAGGUCCCUUUUAUUAGUAGAGACUAGGGAUUAACCCGGGCUACGCCCGGGAUUUUUAUUUUUUUCUAAUUUAAGUUGUUAAAUUAUUUAUAUUUAGGUUAUGAUAUAUAUUUAUAUAAAUGUUAAGAUGCAUGUCAUAAUUAAAAUUUAUUUUUAAAUUUUAACAUGUUAAAUUAACAUAUUUUUUACUAUUUAAAUAUUUUUUGUAAUUUUGUUGGCUAUCUAAUUAUCAUAUUUAGCAAAACUAUCUCUUGAGUGUUAACAUAAAUGUUUUAGAUAUUAAAUUAAACUGUAGAGUAUUUUCGGAUCGACCACAUGCUCAACAAUCAAUCGAUCCGUAAAAAGAUGGUCGAUCUCCUUGGCCAUGUAAGUACAAUUUUAGCAAAAAUAUCUUUGAUUUUCAGAUAUUAAGUAUAUAACUAUUAUUUUAAAUAUUGUUUUAAUUGUAUUUUUUGAUCAAAUUAUUGUAUUAUAAUGUUUAUGUAAAUAUUUUUGUGAUAUUUGAAUUUGUGUUGUUCGUAUACUUAAUCUAGAUGAUAUUGAUGUUUAACAAUUUAUUGUUUUCUGGAAAUAGAAAAUAAUGAUAUAUCAAAACGUAUCUAAUACUUGUUAAAUGAUAGUAUAAUGUAAAUUAUAUCCAUUAUUUGAAAAUAACCAUUUGUUGUUUUUUAUUUUCUUUUUUAAAUCAGAAAUUAUUUUUAUUUAAAAACAUUAUUCAUAUAUAAUAUAAUAGUUUAAGUUUGAAAGAUUAAUCUAUAUAUAUAAAUUAUGUAUAUUUUUUUAAAAAUAAUUUAAGAUAUUAUAUAUUGAGUAACUGAGUAAAAGCUGAAUUUCUUAUCUUGAAAAUCAAAUAUUUAUAUUUUUGUCUUCAUGUUAUACUCACCAAUCCAUCAUUGAUAUUUAUAACUCACUAUGUUUUUAAAAUAACUUAGUUUUAAGUAAUAAACGAAUUUAAUAAUUAAAUUCAUCACCUAUAAUGUUAUAUAAACUAUAUUUGAAAACUCUCUAAAAUUAUAUUUUAAGCAUAAUAUUACUAUUAUUUAAUUUAAGUUAUUUUAAGCAUAAUAUAUGCUAAACUAACUUAAAUUAUAUUUACAAUAGGACCAUCCUAAACCUGUUAAUAAACCAAAAACAAUACUAAACCAACAUGAACCAAUACCUGAUUCGGCGUGGAAUGAAGUGUUUCGGGAUAAAUGCUUGAAUGGUUAUUAACUGUAAUAGUUUGAUCAUGAAAUAGUUAGUAUGAAUAUUAACAAUAAAAUGAUGGAUUAGAUUAAUUUAAAUUUGUAAGAAUACCUUUGAGUCUAUGAAAAGCAAUUCAAUUCCCAUGAAUAAGUUUGGCUUUUGGAAGUUGUGGGUUUUCCAACAAUGAAUCCACCUAACAAAAAGUUCGUUGUUAUAAAAAAUCUCCUUCAAAGUCAUUAAGGGUUUUUGGGACGGCAAUAGUUGAUGGUAGAACCAUUUUUUUGCUCGAGUGCUUUGAAGUUUUCCUUGAUAGUGUGAGGUUGAUAUUGAUGGAAUAAUGAGUUUUAUAUGGACUUUCUUGACUCCCUCUGUUUCAAAAUACAUGAAAUUUUAGGUUGGGACACAAAUAUUAAAAAACUUGUUUUUUAUCUAAAAAGUAUCACUAAAAUAUAAAUUAAAAAUUAUUCAACCAAUCACAAAACAUACUACAAAAUAUAAUUGGUUACACAGUUUUUGAUAAAGUUAAAAGAUACCUUGAAAUAUGAAAACAUCAUCUAUUUUGAAACAUCAAAAACUCUCUAAAACAUCAUCUAUUUUGAAACGGAGGGAGUACAUUUUAAUUUUUGUUUUGUUUAAUGUGGUAUUUUCAUUUUUAUAUAAUUUACUACCAUUUUAAGAUAUAUGUACAUUUAAGAUAGAUGUUUAAAUCUUAAUGUAUUUUUUCUAUUUUUUUUAAAUGUUUAUUUCCAUUUCUUAUAUUUUUUAUUUACGUAAUAUCUAUAUUUUAUAUUUUAAAAUAGAUAUUUAAAUCUUAAUGUACUUUUUCAUUUUUUUGUAAAUUGUGUAUUUACUUAUAUUAUAUAUUUUACAUUUUAAGAUAGAUGUUUAAUGCUUAAUAAACUUUUUCCAUUUUUUUAAAAAAAAUUGUGUAUUUACUUAUUAUUAUAUAUAUAAUUCAUAUAUUAUAGAUUUAAAUAUUUACUUAUUAUUUAUUUUCCUGUAUAUGUAUUUCCAUUUCUUGUACUUUUUAUUUACUUAAUAUCUUUAUUUUACUUUUAAAGAUAGAUGUUAAAAUCUUAAUGUACGUUUUCCAUUUUUAAAAAAAAGUAUAUUUCUAUUUGUUAUACUUUCUAUUUACGUAAUAUCUAUAUUUUAAAUUUUAAGAUAUAUUUUUAAAUCUUAAUGUAAUUUUCCAUUUUUUUAAAUUGGGUAUUUACUUAUAUUAUAUAUUUACUUAUUAUUUAUUUUUAUUUAUACUGUAUAUUUCUAUUUCUUAUACUUUCUAUUUACUAAUAAUUUUAUAUUUUAAGAUAGAUUUACAUUUUAAGAUAGAUGUUUAAAUACUAAUGUACUUUUUCUAUUUUUUUAAAUUGUGUAUUUCCUUUUGUUAUAUUUUCUAUUUGCGUGAUAUCUAUAUUUUAUAUUUUAAGAUAGAUGUUUAAAUCUUAAUAUAAUUUUUUCCAUUGUUUUUAAGUUGUGUAUUUCUUUUUCUUAUACUUUCUAUUUACUUAAUAUCUAUAUUUUACAUUUUAAGAUAGAUGUUUAAUAUUUAAUGUACUCUUUCCAUUUUUUUAAAAUUGUGCAUUUACUUAUUAUUGUAUAUAUAAUUCGUAUAUUUAUAUAUUUAUAAUAUUUACUUAUUAUUUAUUUUUCUAUAUAUUAUGUAUUUCUCUUUCUUAUACUUUAUAUUUUAUUAAUAUCUAUAUUUUAUAUUUUAAGAUAGAUGUUUAAAUCUUAAUGUAUUUUUUCAUUUUUAAUGUAAAACGGCAAUGUUUUAUAGAAAAACUUGGACAAAUAGUCAAAUAGUUAUAUUUAUGUUUUUUUCUUAUAAAAUGGUAAUGUUACAUUAUGGAGAUAAACUGUUUUUUUUUAGUGAAAAAUAGUAAUUUUACAUAUGUUUAAUGUAGUUUUUCCAUUUUUUUUCAUGUUGUAUGUUUACAUAUUAUUUUUAUUUUUAAAUGUAAAAUGGUAAUCAUACAUAUGUUUAAUGUAGUAUUUCCAUUUUUUAUGAUGUAUGUUUACAUAUUAUUUAUUAUUUUCGAAAUUAUAUAUAAUGUUUUUUUUACAAAAUAGUAAUGUUACAUUAUGCAGAUAAGCCGUCUUUUUUAGUGAAAGAUGGUAAUCUUACAUAUGUUUAAUGUUUACAUAUUAUUUUUUUAAAAUAAAAAUGUAAAAUGGUAAUCUUACAUAUGUUUAAUGUAGUAUUUCCAUUUUUUAUGUUGUAUGUUUACAUAUAUUUAUUAUUUUUGAAAUUAUAUAUAAUGUUUUUUUUUUUUUAUAAAACGGUAAUGUUACAUUAUGAAGAUAAUCCGUUUUUUUUUAAGUGAAAAAUGGUAAUCUUAUAUAUGUUUAAUGUAGUUUUUCUAUUUUUUAUGCUGUAUGUUUACAUGUUAUUUAUAAUUUUUGAAAAUUAGUAAUAUUAAAAUAUAAAACUAUAUUUUAUGCCACGUGUCAUUUUUUGGGAGAAGUUUUUACCGCUGAUGUGGACUCUCUAUGGAGCCUCAAAAGGUCCCUUUUAUUAGUAGAGAUUAUUAUUUUUGAAAUUAUAUAUAAUGUUUUUUUUUUUUUAUAAAACGGUAAUGUUACAUUAUGAAGAUAAUCCGUUUUUUUUUAAGUGAAAAAUGGUAAUCUUAUAUAUGUUUAAUGUAGUUUUUCUAUUUUUUAUGCUGUAUGUUUACAUGUUAUUUAUAAUUUUUGAAAAUUAGUAAUAUUAAAAUAUAAAACUAUAUUUUAUGCCACGUGUCAUUUUUUGGGAGAAGUUUUUACCGCUGAUGUGGACUCUCUAUGGAGCCUCAAAAGGUCCCUUUUAUUAGUAGAGAUUCAUUAGUAUUUUUACGUUACGUUAAUAUGGUGGAAAGGCUACGACCCCGUUUAAACGUCCUUUUGAAAAUGGGCCGUAAUGGGCUCAUAUUGAUUCCCAUUCAAGAUCCAAUAAAUAUUGUAUAGAGUAGAUCCAAGUACCCAACGUCGGCAGAAUAGUUUUUUUUUCUUAUAAUUUAAAUGAAGAAUUUUUCUUUUACAAUAAUUGUUUCUUAACAUUUUCUAUCAAAGAAAAGAAUAACACCAAAAGUGGAACGAACAAAUUUUGAGAUAUUAGAGCAUCUUCAAUGGUUUACAUCAUUUUUUCCUUCAAAAUAAAAUAAACUAAAAAUAAAUUUACAUUUUACUCUAAUAGUUUUCUUCAUUUUUUUCUUCAGAAAUACUACUUACUAUUAUUUCCAAAAUGCUUAUAAUACAAAUUUAUACAUUAUUUACUAAAAUACUAGUAAUUUUUCUAAAGAAUAAACAUAGAUAUUGAAUCUUUUUAAAAUAUAAAACAUAAUUAUAUAAAAUUUUAAGAACCAAUUUAUAAAUAUAAAACUUAUUCAUUUCGAGGAAAAAUAUCAAAAAAUGAGAGAAAAACUUGUUUAAUGGUGCAUAAUUUUGAGGGAAAAAUGAGUUUGUGAAUAGUGAAACAUCAAAUUUGAAAGAAUACUAUUCACAAAUUUAUUUUUUCCUUUAAAAUAAUAUAUCAUUGGAAAAAAUAUUCUUUUAAAUUUUGAUGUUUUUCUUCAAAAUGAUGUACUAUCGGAGAUGGUCCUUGAUAUUUGAAUGUGAACAAAAUAUAGGUUUAAAAAAGUAAAAGAUAUACCACAUAUUUUAUAACAAGAAAAAAGGAGAUAACGACCAUUUUGAUUAAGACAUCAUAUACAAAGUAGAUUGAUCUCUAUCUAAUACUAUUUGUGGUGUCAGUACGAUGCCACGGUUAUGCAUUAGCGUCGGCCAUAAUAUUUUAUAGUUCAAUAAAAACAAUAAAUAAUUAAAGUAGUAAUGGUUUUGUGGAAAGUGCGUUUGCGAAUGUGUCAAGAAAGCAACUUUAGGAAGAACGAACAAAUGCUGUCAGACGAAGCCAGAGUAGGAUGAUCCCUUUUUUUUUUUGUCGACCAGAGUAGGAUGAUCCACAUUAAAGAAUCAUAAAAUAUCGUGCUUUGCUCCAAAUAUUUUAUUUUAUUUCAUGACAGCUAAGCUUUAUUGUCAUUUAUAUAUUUAAUGUUGGUUGAUUGGUUUAGCUAAAUAACUCUUCACGCUAGUUCUCUCCAGAAAAAAAGGAAGUUGAAUAUGAAGCCUAAACAAGUAAAGGAUACGUACGUAUAUGUCAACACACCACAAUUUCUUGAUUUUAGCUUUGCAUAAUUAUACUUAAUUACCGGUUAUUAAGACGUAGACCGACCAAUAAGUCCAUAUAUCUAUAUUAUUAAAGUUGAAGUACACAUUGAGAUUGUUUGGCAAUAUGGAUAGUAGUUAAAAAAAUAGUACUGUUUGGAAACAUGGAUAGUAGUAAGUUAGGAAAAAAAAUAAUGGGCUUAUGCUACUAAAAAUUGGAAGUCCAUUACAUUAUAUUAAAAAGUAAUGGGUCUAUGUUAUUUGAUAUAUAAAAUAUUAAAAUCAAAACAAUAAUUUAAAAUUGAUUUAUAUCAAAAAUUCAUUCAAAAAAAAAUAUAUAUAUAUAUUCAAAAUUUGAUUUUUACUAACAUAUUUUCUAAUAACUAUUAUAAAAAUAUUUUCAAUAUAUAUAAGAAAAAUACAAUACAAAGCCCAAUUUUAAACACCAACUUACGUUAUGGUUUUUAUAUUUCACAUUAAAUUUUAAAAUAUAAUAUAUAUGAUUAUUUAUAUGAUUGUACGUAUAAAAUAUUAUUAAUUAUAAAAAAACUUAUUUGAUGGUACGUAUAAAAUACGAUUAAUUAUAUGAUAACACAUAUUUUGUAACCUAUGAUGACACAUAUAGGAUAUAUAUAAUAAUGAUUAAGGGUGGGCGUUCGGGUUCGUUUUCGGGUCUUUUUGGGAUUUCGUGUUCAGUUCAGAUUUUUUAAGAUUUCGUUCGGAUUUGGAUAACCAAUUUAAAUAGGUUUGGUUUAAAUAUUUGGAUAGAAAAUUAAUAAUUAUUUAAGUAUUUUUGGAGUUUUGAGUAUAUUUUAACUAUUUAAGAUAUUUACGUUUGAUUAUUUGUAUAUAUUUUAAAAAUACACCCGCACGGGCGUGCGGGUCCAAAUCUAGUUCAUACUUAAUACAGUAUCCAGCCAAGCAUGCAUGUAUAUUGAUAUGAAUUCACGCGAUAACGUGGAUAGUCGGUUUACAGACCUGAAGUCUGAAGACAUGUGCGUGUGCUUCAGGUGUCAUGUUCUUGGAAGAAGGUGUAGAGUUAUAUAUAUAUGUAGCCAUACCUCUCGCCUGCCUCCACGGCGGAGAUUGGUCCAUAUAAUUACACCAAAUAUCAUAUCUCAAAUAGCAUUAUUGAUUUAGCAAGUUAAUUCUACGUCAAAAUGUAGUCGAACACGCUUAUUAAGUUUGUUACUUCUCGUGCACGGAUCUAUCUGUAUCCAUGCCCAUAUCACCGUCCGUUUUAUAAAUGAUAUAUAAUUUUUCCUUUUUUUUUUGUUUUUGGGUGUGGAAUGGAUAAAUCCAAGAAAAUUGGUGUAUGCCAUCGUCACAUGACACAGGAGUCUCAAAUCAAUAUUGCGACUCAUUCCUAAUAUUUCAGGAAUUUUUAUUUUUUUUCAACCACAAUUUUUAGGAAAAUAUUGAUGAAUAUGAUAUACUGUUUUUUAUCAUUUAGUCUGAUUCAAACAUAAGAGUAAAACUAAAAAAUAUAAGGAACAACAUCAUCUUAGAGAAUAUACAUUUCAGGAAAUAGUCAAAUUAUUGAUUUGAGAGUUAUCACCUACUUAAUUUGUUUUUAAAUUUAAAAUAAGUGCAACAUAAGUGAAUGUAACUUACGUUUAUUUACAUAAAACGUUUUAAUGUCGGUUACAACAUUACAAAAAGGGAUCGUAAUGUUCGAAACUGAUUACAUGUAUUGCUGCCGACAUCACAUUAACACGAUUAUGCGACGCGCAAAGAAAGACGGACGCGCUAAUGCUAAUCAGUAAUUACGAAAUUUUAGGAACCUAAAUCAAAAUGGAAAAGUUUCUCAAUUAACUUUAAGUAAAAGAAAGACGAAUAAAAACAAAAAAAAAACGGUAAGCACCACGUGGGUCAUACAUAUCUCAAAAAGUUGGUCUAUAUAGUGCGAGAUACAUGAAGGCGAGAGUAAACAAGAAAACACUCACAACACACACAUAUUGAAGCUUUAACAAUUUUCACAGGAACUUCAAAAGAGCUUAAAAGAGAAUGGGAACAGCUACUUUCAUAGAUAUUCUUCUUGCUAUCCUCUUGCCUCCUCUUGGCGUCUUUCUCAGAUAUGGUUGCGGGGUAAUUACACUUUUUUCAUUUCCUUUGAUCAACUCAUAUGUAGUUCUGUUUUCACAUUUAUAUAUAUUCUCAAAAAUAAAAGUUUGGAAUAAAUUUUUUUUUGUUGCUAGGUUGAGUUUUGGAUAUGUUUGGUAUUGACGCUGCUUGGGUAUCUUCCUGGGAUCCUCUACGCUCUUUAUGUCCUCACCAAAUGAUCAUUUACCUCCAUCUAUCCUCUCUUCAUGUAUCCUCAUCUCCUUGUAAGUUUUUUUUCUAGCUACUAUGUUACAUACGUACAUGUCCAUGGAAGAAGUCAUCUUUUGGUUUAGUUUUUUUUUUGUUUGUAUUAGUAAGAUUUUGCAUUGGAAAAAUGAAGUAUAUGUUAGGUGGUGAACCUACACUAAACUAAAUUCUAAAAAGUAAAAAAAUUAUUAUACGAUCGUUUCAAGUUAAUUCAAGUUAAGAUAUUGUUUCUACUUUAUAGUACUCAACUUGGUAGCGUUUUCGGAAACUGACUAGGGUUAAAAGUACUGAUAAAGAUUAACUCUGGGUUAAAAUAGACUCUUGUUAUUUUGUGCAGGAACAACAGGUUCGUCGUGUUUUCGUCUCUUAGUGUGACUGAUUCAUCGUUUCUUUCAUCAGAGUUUUAUCGUUGCUGUGUUUUGCAUUGUUAUUAUACAAUUUCUCUCAAUCCUUCUUUUGUGUGAAGUUCUUGUUUAUUCGAUUGUUUAAUUUGUGUUUACUAGGAAUUAUGUUGUCUUGGUGGGUCGCAUAAGACCACCAUGAAAUAUCUGAACCUCACGUUAUAAGACCAUCAUCACACUUGUGGCACCAUCUGGGAUAGCCAUGAGACACACCAAACAAAGCAUUCACCCACCGGUUAUUAUUAUCUGAUAGCACAAUUCUGAUAUACCAACUUAAAUAACCUUAAUCGAAAUAAUCCACGUGAAUCAAAUUGAAUUUGCCCAUACCGACAAGCACUUUUGUUCAUUUUACAAUAGGCAAGUAAAAUAACUUAGCAAUACAUAUAUAAAGUGAAGACGUGAAAGAACAGAACUUCACUUACGCAUUCAUCGUCAGGAAGUCAGCAAUCAAGGCAACAACCAUGAAACGCCAUCCGACAUAUCCCACGUGUUUCAUCUUGAGCAUUCCAUGUCCAUGAAGCAACUUCAUGGUGCAUGUCAUCUGUUUUAGAGCCAAUCUUAAAAUUUUGAGGAAUACAUAUAUACAAUUUGGUAAAACAAUUGUAUAACUUUCUUUUUAUAAAUUUAGAGAUCUGUAUAUACAAUUUUUAAUUUUUUUUGGAAACUAUAUAUCACUACUUCAUUAGCCCAUGCUUAUGAUCGACCCUACCUAAGAAAUAAUUCGUUAAAAAUAAAAGACACUCCACUUUAUUGUAAGAGCUCAUGUGUAGGAGCUGAUGUUGUAUAUAUAAGCUAAAUGGAUGAGGAACUUACUCUUUUUUUUAGGGAUAUGCAGGAUACAAGUAGGCAUAGGAAAGUCAUUAACAACAAUUUUCAUUUUACUCUCACUACUUGUGCAACAAAAUCCAUCAUUGCAGGCAUUUUGAACACGAUCUGGUCUAGUCUAUAAGCAUAUUAUUAGUUACGCGGAUCCUUAGCAGCAGGCGACAGACUACAACUACAUGAAAAAAAUUCAAUAGAAAAUGCAAAAAGUGAUCUUCCUCCAUAAUUAGAUCAGCCUGGUUCCACAACUUAACCAAGCUCCUGGCUUAUUUAUAUGGUUCAAUUAGUUUCUCUGAGAGAGAUUAUUGGUAAGUGAAUUUGCUAGUUUUUGGAUUUCAAAAAUCUUAGUAGAAUUCAUUGUUAUAGGUUUAAAAUUUUUUAAAAUUCAUUCAAAUAUCUUGUUAUUCAAAAAGUUUAGUUAUUAUUGAUUCUCUAAUUCUAACUAAAACUAUUGUUAUUAGGAGAUGUUACAUACUCAACUUUCAAAUAUUGGACUUAUGUUAGGCCUGCGGUAAUAGUUAAUUUAUUCGUCAAAACUAAAAACGUUGGGCCUAUAUUGGGCUUGCUGUAAUUGUUGAUCUAUUUUUUAAUGGUCUAAAUUGAGUAAGUACCCCAUUGGAAAACAAAAGACAACAUUGUAAAAAAAUGCAUGUCAAAUGCAAGUCGUCAAAAUAAUUAUGUUCUAUAAUUAAUUUACACAUAUCGGUAUAUAUUACUUAUAUAAUUUGUUUUCAAAAAAGAAGAAGAAGAAGUAAUGAACACUUUAACAAUCUCUCAUAUAUGUGUAUAUUGUCUUUACAGUCGUCAUCACCUUUUUUUUAACACAUCAGUCGUAGUCAUCCAUAUCACAUAUAUAGAUAUGUAUAUAUAUUUCUUUUGUUGACUGAAAAAUAUCAUUAUAUUUAGAAAAAAAUCUCCACUUAUCCAGAAAAAAUAUUAUUUUAGAGAAUGAUGAUUAUAUUGUCCAAAAUACAGUCGUCAUCACUCUUUUUUUUUUUUUUUAACAUAUCAGUCGUCGUCAUCCACAUCACAUAUAUAGAUAUAUAUAUUUCUUUUGUUGACUGAAAAAAAAUGUCAAUAUAUUUAGAAAAAAAUCUGUACUCAUCCAGAAAGAAAUAUUCUUUUAGGGAAUGAUGACUAUAAUUUUAUUUUCUAACACAUAAACUUGUUUGAAAAUGCUAAUGUUAAAAAAUGGAAAUAUUUAAAAAGAUUUGAACAUAUCAGUUAUUCAAAAUGAUGAACAUUUCAACAAUACAUAUAUCUCUUUUUUGCCAUAUAUGUUUCCUUUUGUUGACAAAAAUAAUAUACCACCAUAUUUAGAAAAAAAUCCGUCUUUAUCCUAAUAAAAUAUAUUAUUUCAGAAAAUAAUGGAUAAAUCUUAUUUUAUUUUCUAACACAUGUAAUAUUUUAAAUUUUUAUGUUAAGAAUAUAUUAUAGAUACAACAACAAUCAAAAAUUAUAGACACAACAAACAACUGGUAAUAAUAGAAGCAUAAAUAUUAUAAUUUUAAUAUAUUCAUUUUGACAUAUAUAAAUAUUAAAAAUAAAAUUUGGAUUUAUAAUCGUAUAUGUAUAUUAUUUUAUAUUCAUUUUGACAUAUUAUAUAUAUAUAUAUAUAAUGUACAUAUUCAAACAUGACAAUUUAAAAUGUACAAGAAUUUAAACCAAAUAAAUAAAUUAUAAAUAAAAUAAUAAAUAUUAAAUUUAUUUUUAUUAUGAUUUAUAAUAAAUAAAUUUUGAGAAUAAAAUUUAAUUAUUAAAAUUUAAUAUAAAAAAUAAAUGUUAAACAUGUUCUCUUCUUUAAU
rnacentral:lncRNA from 1 species